rnacentral:rRNA from 1 species
UGGGGAAUCUUAGACAAUGGGGGAAACCCUGAUCUAGCCAUGCCGCGUGAGUGACGAAGGCCCUAGGGUCGUAAAGCUCUUUCGCCAGGGAAGAUAAUGACGGUACCUGGUAAAGAAACCCCGGCUAACUCCGUGCCAGCAGCCGCGGUAAUACGGAGGGGGUUAGCGUUGUUCGGAAUUACUGGGCGUAAAGCGCACGUAGGCGGACCAGUCAGUCAGAGGUGAAAGGCCCGGGCUCAACCUGGGACGUGCCUUUGAAACUGAUUGUCUUGAGUGCGGAAGAGGGUGACGGAAUUCCCAGUGUAGAGGUGAAAUUCGUAGAUAUUGGGAAGAACACCGGUGGCGAAGGCGGUCACCUGGUCCGCAACUGACGCUGAGGCGCGAAAGCGUGGGGAGCAAACAGGAUUAGAUACCCCCGUAGUCC